AAGGAUCAUUACCAAUUCAACGGUGUGGUCGCGGCCUCCGGGGGCUCCCCCCGGGCGGUAGAGGUAACACUCUUACGCGCCACAUGUCUGAAUCCUUUUUUUACGAGCACCUUUCGUUCUCCUUCGGUGGGGCAACCUGCCGUUGGAACUUAUCAAAACCUUUUUUGCAUCUAGCAUUACCUGUUCAGAUACAAACAAUCGUUACAACUUUCAACAAUGGAUCUCUUGGCUCUG
rnacentral:misc_RNA from 1 species